GCCCGCUCAGAAACUUAAAGGAAUUGACGGGGGCCCGCACAAGCGGUGGAGCAUGUGGUUUAAUUCGAUGAUACGCGAGGAACCUUACCUGGGCUCAAAUGUAUGUUGACGUAUUCUGAAAGGGAUACUUCUUCGGACAAUAUACAAGGUGCUGCAUGGUUGUCGUCAGCUCGUGCCGUGAGGUGUCGGGUUAAGUCCCAUAACGAGCGCAACCCCUACCUUUAGUUGCCAUCAGGUUAAGCUGGGGACUCUAAAGGAACUGCCUACGCAAGUAGUGAGGAAGGCGGGGAUGACGUCAAAUCAGCACGGCCCUUACGUCCAGGGCUACACACGUGCUACAAUGGCCGAUACAGAGGGCAGCUACCUGGUGACAGGAUGCAAAUCUCCAAAGUCGGUCUCAGUUCGGAUCGGAGUCUGCAACCCGACUCCGUGAAGUUGGAUUCGCUAGUAAUCGCGCAUCAGCCAUGGCGCGGUGAAUACGUUCCCGGGCCUU
rnacentral:rRNA from 1 species